rnacentral:rRNA from 1 species
GUAGUCCACGCUGUAAACGAUGGGCACUAGGUGUGGGGGGUGUCGACUCCCUCCGUGCCGAAGCUAACGCAUUAAGUGCCCCGCCUGGGGAGUACGGCCGCAAGGCUAAAACUCAAAGGAAUUGACGGGGACCCGCACAAGCAGCGGAGCAUGUGGUUUAAUUCGACGCAACGCGAAGAACCUUACCUGGGCUUGACAUGUUCUUGACAGCUCUGGAAACAGAGUCUCCCUUCGGGGCAAGAUCACAGGUGGUGCAUGGCUGUCGUCAGCUCGUGUCGUGAGAUGUUGGGUUAAGUCCCGCAACGAGCGCAACCCCCGUCGCAUGUUGCCAGCAUUUAGUUGGGGACUCAUGUGAGACUGCCGGUGACAAACCGGA